rnacentral:rRNA from 1 species
CCUACGGGUGGCUGCAGUGGGGGAUAUUGCACAAUGGGGGAAACCCUGAUGCAGCGACGCCGCGUGGGCGAAGAAGCGCCUCGGCGCGUAAAGCCCUGUUAGCAGGGAAGAAAAUUACGGUACGUGAAGCAGACGCCACGGCUAACUACGUGCCAGCAGGCGCGGGACUACGUAGGGGGCAAGCGUUUACCGGAUUUACGGGGUGUAAAGGGGGCGCAGAGGGUUAUGCGGGGCGGGAGGUAAAGCCCCGGGCCAAAACCCGGGACUGCGGUUGGAACUGCGUGGCUGGAGUGCGGGAGGGGCAGGCGGAAUGCCUGGUGUAGCGGUGAAAUGCGUAGAUAUCAGGAAGAACACCGAUGGCGAAGGCAGCCUACUGGACUGCGACUGACGUUGAGGCACGAAAGCGUGGGGAGCAAACAGGAUUAGAUACCCCAGUAGUC